CUCGCGGUCUUUGGGGAGUAGCUUACUUAUUCAUAUCCUAUUGAAUGAGUUCGUUCGUCAACAUAAUUGAUGCAAAAUCAUCAUGGCGUUCGAGGCAACCACCACCUUGGUGGCGCUUAGCAAGACCUUAGACAAGCAUCGUGAACCGGGAUGGGGCGCGAGGUUUGUCUUUGGUU
rnacentral:sRNA from 3 species